GUAUAAGAGACAGCAGUAGCCACGGUAAUACAGAGGGUGCGAGCGUUAAUCGGAAUUACUGGGCGUAAAGCGUGCGCAGGCGGUUAUAUAAGACAGAUGUGAAAUCCCCGGGCUCAACCUGGGAACUGCAUUUGUGACUGUAUAGCUAGAGUACGGCAGAGGGGGAUGGAAUUCCGCGUGUAGCAGUGAAAUGCGUAGAUAUGCGGAGGAACACCGAUGGCGAAGGCAAUCCCCUGGGCCUAUACUGACGCUCAUGCACGAAAGCGUGGGGAGCAAACAGGAUUAGAUACCCCGGUAGUCCCUGUCUCUUAUAC
rnacentral:rRNA from 1 species